AUAUACUCCCACUUCGACUAUUCUGGUCUAAAAUGUCAAAUUCAUUUUCAAUUCAUUUUGAAUUCCGGACAAUUCUCACUUCAGUGAAUAACACACUGUUUGCAUUCUGGUAUUUCACACGUUAUGGACAACUCCUUUCCGGAAUACAAGUUCUGUCCAGUAGGGUAGUAAUCAAGCUAGAUCAGUAUAUUCAUAAAUGAGAUACUAACAUUGAGUAUUACUGAGUAAUGUAUAAAAGUGCAGUAAAUGCUAGCUUGUAUGCUAACGGGCAGGGCUCUCCCCGGUCCUUUUGUAUCAAUUUGUGUGUAUUGUUU